rnacentral:rRNA from 1 species
UAGGGAAUCUUCGGCAAUGGGGGGAACCCUGACAGAGAAACGCCGCGCGAGUGAAGAAGGUUUUCGGGUCGUAAAGCUCUGUUGUUAAGGAAGAACGAGUGUGAGAAUGGAAAGUUCAUACUGUGACGGUACUUAACCAGAAAGGGACGGCUAACUACGUGCCAGCAGCCGCGGUAAUACGUAGGUCCCGAGCGUUGUCCGGAUUUAUUGGGCGUAAAGCGAGCGCAGGCGGUUAGAUAAGUCUGAAGUUAAAGGCAGUGGCUCAACCAUUGUAGGCUUUGGAAACUGUUUAACUUGAGUGCAGAAGGGGAGAGUGGAAUUCCAUGUGUAGCGGUGAAAUGCGUAGAUAUAUGGAGGAACACCGGUGGCGAAAGCGGCUCUCUGGUCUGUAACUGACGCUGAGGCUCGAAAGCGUGGGGAGCGAACAGG